GAAUUUUCCGCAAUGGGCGAAAGCCUGACGGAGUGACGCCGCGUGUGGGACGAAGGCCUUCGGGUCGUAAACCACUGUCAGUGGGAAAGAUGGGUGUCGGCGCUAAUACCGCUGGCAUCUGACGGUACCUGCAGAGGAAGCCCCGGCUAACUCUGUGCCCGCAGCCGCGGUAAUACAGAGGGGGCAAGCGUUGCUCGGAAUCACUGGGCGUAAAGGGCGCGUAGGCGGGAUGGCAAGUCAGUCGUGAAAUCUCUCGGCUCAACCGAGAAACGUCGGCUGAUACUGCCGUUCUUGAGGGAUGCAGAGGAGACUGGAAUUCCCGGUGUAGCGGUGAAAUGUGUAGAGAUCGGGAGGAACACCGGUGGCGAAGGCGGGUCUCUGGGCAUCUCCUGACGCUGAGGCGCGAAAGCGUGGGGAGCAAACGGG
rnacentral:rRNA from 1 species